AUUGAACGCUGGCGGGAUGCUUUACACAUGCAAGUCGAACGAGUGGCGGACGGGUGAGUAAUAUAUCGGAACGUGCCCAGUAGCGGGGGCUAACUACUCGAAAGAGUGGCUAAUACCGCAUACUAUUGGAGCGUCCGAUAUCGGAUUAGCUAGUUGGUGGGGUAAAGGCUCACCAAGGCAACGAUCCGUAGCGGGUUUGAGAGGACGACCGGCCACACUGGGACUGAGACACGGCCCAGACUCCUACGGGAGGCAGCAGUGGGGAAUUUUGCGCAAUGGGGGAAACCCUGAUCCAGCCAUGCCGCGUGUAUGAGAAGGUUUUCGGGUUGUAAAGCACUUUUGGCAGAGAAGCGGUAUCUGCAGAAUAAGCACCGGCUAACUACGUGCCAGCCGCCGCGGUAAUAC
rnacentral:rRNA from 1 species